rnacentral:rRNA from 1 species
UAUUGCACAAUGGGGGGAAACCCUGAUGCAGCAACGCCGCGUGAGUGAAGAAGUAUCUCGGUGUGUAAAGCUCUAUCAGCAGGGAAGAAGAUGACUGUACCUGAGUAAGAAGCCCCGGCUAACUACGUGCCCGCAGCCGCGGUAAUACGUAGGGGGCAAGCGUUAUCCGGAUUUACUGGGUGUAAAGGGAGCGUCGACGGCCAGGCAAGUCUGGAGUGAAAGCCCGGGGCUCAACCCCGGGACUGCUUUGGAAACUGCCAGGCUGGAGUGCUGGAGAGGCAAGCGGAAUUCCUAGUGUAGCGGUGAAAUGCGUAGAUAUUAGGAAGAACACCAGUGGCGAAGGCGGCUUGCUGGACAGUAACUGACGUUGAGGCUCGAAAGGGUGGGGAGCAAACAGG